GAAAAUGCACCAUUAGGCCUACCUCUUUUGGGAGCAUUGUAACUACAUGGAUGAGACAAUAGAGGUCGCCUUAGACCAGGAAAAAACGCUUCUUUUUGAGAUGCAUAAUUGAAUAUUCAAAUGCAUACCCCACAAUCAUUGUUAAUCGUUAUGACGACAAGGUUGUACACUGUGUAUAUAUAUGAAUCACAAAACGCAGAAGUAAAUACAGAAUAAAUACAACGGACAUGUAUUUCUGGUUCACGUCUUAGCCACGUUUGGAGGUCCUACCUCGUGUUUCGUUUGCUUCCAUUGAGUGAGUUGAUCCAGCACCUUGCCGCUGUCCACUGACUGAAUCCUCUACCUGAUCGGCUUUGCACUGCAUUCUUCUCAGUUUUGUGUCUCCAAGCAAAAUGUCGGGUGAAAAGCCAAAGGUCUACGAAGGUGUUCGGGUGAAGAUCACGGUAAAGGAAUUGCUGGAAAAGCGCAGAGCUCGUCAAAUGAAAUUGUCAUCGGAAUGUGCAAACUCUUGGUAUCAAGAUGCUGUUGCCACACCUUCCUUAAGUCUGGUGCCAGAGCCAAGUGCACAACCCUGGCCCUGUGAGGACAACCCCAGUGACUAUGGGACAGAGUGUCUCUCAUUAUACAGUGAUAACUUCAGCUCGGCUCAACAGACUGAACCUGCAGCAUACAGUGAACCCUGCAACUACACUCAUCAACAGCCCUGGUCCCUUGGACAUAUAUUGCACAAGGACUAUAAGGAAGGACAGGCCUCCUGCUCCUCAUUAGAGACUUGGACUCCGGCCUGCACACCAGAGAAAAUUAAUCCUUUGGACACCCAUCAUCUCCCCUCCUCACUACAAGAAUACUCAGACCCUGUGGAUCCCACUUACAUAUCGCUUAAUACAAAUAUCACUCAAUAUGAUACCUCUGUGUACUCAAACCCUACUGAAUCGAGCUCUACAAUACAGUGGAUGCCCUGACCUAAGUAGCACAGGUUAUUAUGGGUCAACUUUGGACAACUGUUAUUAUAAAUGGCAAAUGUCAAGCAUGAGUCAUGUUUUAAAUACAGAGUUUCUGGAGGGUGGCGGGGAGAUGGUGGCUGGCUGGGCGCACUCUGUUCUGUGCCCCAUCUGGAGACCAACCUGAGGUUUAGGGCUGGCAGGGUCUACCAGCUGUGUGUGUGAGUGUAUGAGAGAGAGAAAGUGAGAUAAGGAACUUUUUUUUAUAGAUUGCCA
ensembl:lncRNA